UGGUCGGUGUUUCCGUAAUGCUCCACGAAUAGUUCGAACGAUUAAAUCUGUGAUUCAAUUAGUUACCUUGCUGCUCCUCCACAUCAUCCUUGCACCAUUUAAGGGAGCACAGCUGCUACAUAAUAUACACAGAACAGGAAACGGAUGGCGUGAAAUUGCCGGUGGAUCGCUAUGUUCCCCAUUUCCGCGAAUCAGUUGACUGAUUCGCGGUCACCCCAAGGUCAUACGUCAAAAGCACGCCAAGGAAGCGUUAUUACCCCGGUUACGUCAAAGGAACGUGUUUCUUUCGCUCCCCGGUGUCGCCGAGAUUGGCUUUUGGGGUGGAGGACACGCCAAGGUUACCCCAAGGAAGCGUUAUUACCUCGGUUACGUCAAAGGAACGAGUAAAAUUGAAUUUGUAAUCAAAGAAGCUAGCACAGUCUAGUUAUUGCAAUGAAAUAAACGAAAUGUUUUCCUUGACAGGAAAACAACAGGAAAACAGACCUGACGGUCUUGUGCAUUGAUCCGGCACAAAAUACAAUGAACCGAAGAUUACAGUGUAGCUUCGGUUUUGGUAAAUUUUUCAUCCAAUCGAAGGAUGAAGAUUGAAUUUAACCAUAGCAAUCGGGAAUCAAUUAAGGAUUUUUCGUAGGAGAAUUUGUAGAUUGGUAGCUUUCAAUUGAAUCGCAUGCACAAUAGCGUGUUCCGUGGGUGGAUCGAUAAAAGGUGAACGCGGGACGAAAGAUAACCGGCAGUACACGCGACUAGGUUGAAAAGGAACUGCGACAUCGAGGGUAAGGCAGAAAAGUAAAAAGCCGAUGAAGGAACAAUGGGAGAGGUGACACUGUUUUUCGUUAAUAACUCGUUAACGGUGCCUCGGAGAAAAUUUUCGUAAAGGAAGAAGUUGCUUCAAAUGAUCUGAGGAACUCGCCAUUUCCGGAUUGCGAGACAUUUUUGGGACACCCUGUAUAUUCGCAUGUGACCGUUUGAUCGAUCGAACUGACAGAUCACCGUUGAUUCUAGUGCUGCAUGCUAAUCAGAGGAAAUUAAGAACGACUCAACUUGUUUCUUCUCUAACCGCAAGUGAAACUCGAAGUAAAUUCUUAAAAAGAAAUUGUUAAGUCGUUACGGUAGAAGCUAUGAAAUUGGCUUCUUGGGAAGAUCGAUGAACUAAGAUGAUCAAACGAGGAUUGUUUCACACAUUAACAUAUGCUCCUUAAUCAUAGUUUCACAAGGGGUCUAUUAGAAUGUAUCGAAUGAAACUUAAAUAUAAUCAGUUUAUUUCUGUCUAUUUUGUUAGAACGAAAACGUAGACGCAUUGAAAGAGAAUGCAGGAAGCUUUGAAGAAACAAUUGUAUCGCUGGACGAUAAAUUUACGCAAGUAUUAACGCGUCUUCUGGACAGAAUCUGUGAUCUAGGAAGUGAUAACAAUAAUGAAAAACUGUUGAAUGUAUUCUGUAGGCUAGAUUUCAAUCUAUUUUAUACCGACAUUUUAAUACGACGUGGGAAAGAGAAGGCAACCACUCAAGAGGAGGUCUCCGGUUGACUGUUAAAUAUUCGUAUACAGUAAAAUUAAUUUAUAAACGCACAUGCGUAUACACAAUUGCAUCACGAAUUAAAUAAUAAGUGGCAUCGAGUAAUUAUGUACCGAUCUUAAAUCGAAAAUUCGCACUUUGAACAAAUGUACUUUAAUUUGUUAUCCUUAGUA